rnacentral:rRNA from 1 species
AUUGAACGCUGGCGGCAUGCCUUACACAUGCAAGUCGAACGGCAGCACGGGUGCUUGCACCUGGUGGCGAGUGGCGAACGGGAGAGUAAUACAUCGGAACGUACCUUAUCGUGGGGGAUAACGCAGCGAAAGCUGUGCUACUACCGCAUCCGCCCUGAGGGGGAAAGCAGGGGACCGAAAGACAUCGCGCGAUCAGAGCGGCGAAUGCCUGUUUAGCUUGUUGGUGGGGUAAAAGCCCACCAAGGCGACGAUCAGUAGCUGGUCUGAGAGGACGAUCAGCCACACUGGGACUGAGACACGGCCCAGACUCCUACGGGUGGCAGCAGUGGGGAAUUUUGGACAAUGGGGGCAACCCUGAUCCAGCAAUGCCGCGUAAGUGAAGAAGGCCUUCGGGUUGUAAAGCUCUUUUGUCAGGGAAGAAACACCGGCUCUAACACAGUCCGGGAAUGACGGUACCUGAAGAAAAAGCACCGGCUAACUACGUGCCAGCCGCCGCCGUAA